UCCGGUUUUUCACCGGCAGUCCCUUUAGAGUGCUCAGCGUAACCUGGUGGCAACUAAACACAAGGGUUGCGCUCGUUGCGGCACUUAAGCCAACAUCUCACGACACGAGCUGACGACAACCAUGCAGCACCUGUGCUGGCUCUCCUCUUGCGAGGAGUCGUCCCCGUUUCUGGGUUCUACCACCAGCAUGUCAAGGCCAGGUAAGGUUCUUCGCGUUGCAUCGAAUUAAGCCACAUGCUCCACCGCUUGUGCGGGCCCCCGUCAAUUUCUUUGAGUUUUAACCUUGCGGCCGUACUCCCCAGGCGGAGAGCUUAAUGCGUUAGCUGCGUCACCGACACGCAUGCGUGCCGACAACUAGCUCUCAUCGUUUACAGCGUGGACUAC
rnacentral:misc_RNA from 1 species